GGACAAUGCGCCAACACAGAUAAAGUUUACAGACAGCAGACGUUCUACGUGACAGCAUACUACACACAGGUGAGAUCCGGGGACUGUCCUGAUCGUCAUAUCGUCUGCUGCAACAUGUACAUCAUGGUUGCAGAAUCAUGUGUUCAUCUGGAUGACCUCCAUGAACUGACGAUGCAACUUAUUGGCUAAUAGCUAUGUAUUUGUUACAGAGAAAAAAUAAACAUCAUAUUCAAACCUU